rnacentral:rRNA from 1 species
GGGGAAUAUUGCACAAUGGGCGAAAGCCUGAUGCAGCGACGCCGCGUGAGUGAAGAAGUAUUUCGGUAUGUAAAGCUCUAUCAGCAGGGACGAAUAAAUGACGGUACCUGACUAAGAAGCCCCGGCUAACUACGUGCCAGCAGCCGCGGUAAUACGUAGGGGGCAAGCGUUAUCCGGAUUUACUGGGUGUAAAGGGAGCGUAGACGGUGAUGUAAGUCAGAUGUGAAAGCCCGGGGCUCAACCCCGGGACUGCAUUUGAAACUAUGUUGCUAGAGUGCAGGAGAGGUAAGUGGAAUUCCUAGUGUAGCGGUGAAAUGCGUAGAUAUUAGGAGGAACACCAGUGGCGAAGGCGGCUUACUGGACUGUAACUGACGCUGAGGCGCGAAAGCGUGGGGAGCAAAC